GAAGGUGGGAAUGUGUGUAAAAAAGAAGAUGUGAUUAAUUUGAGAAAAGAAAGCACAAGCAAGGACAGUGGAAGUCCCUGAUUGUAUCUCUUGGAUUUAAAUGUCAGAAAAAUGAAGAAGAAAAAAAGUCUUCUGUAGAAAGAUCUACAAAGGAAAGACUCUGAAAGAAAGCACACAAAUAUACUUCACCAAAAAGUAACAAGAGAAAUUGAAACAAAGUGCCAACAUCUGGAUUUACCAAUGAAUAUAUAAAAAGCAUCUCAUCUGGCCUUUUCCACAACUGCUGUGUAUCUAAAAUAGGGAGCAGAGAGAUGAUGAAGAAAUUGUACCUAUGCUUUGGAAAGCGUAACUGAGAAAGCAAAACUAAAGAAGUUACUCAAAGGGAAAAUUUGGAUCUGCUGUAUUCAUGCUCUGUUGUCACUCCACUUGUUUCCUGUGAUCAGAAGAUUCCAGAAGAGUUUUUCAAGUUAAAAAAGUGAGAAAACAGCAA
rnacentral:lncRNA from 1 species